CCAUACAAUGCUGAAAACACCGCUUUACGUCCAAUCAUCGAAGUUAAGCAUCAUCGGGGCGUGGUCAGUAUUUAGGAGAAUGAUCACCUGGGAACACCACGUGCCGUUG